GAUCUGAUUGGUUGCUAUGGGCAACUCAGCAGCUUUUCCUUUGGACAGGUUUUGAUUAAUCUCCCCCUCUCCCAUUGUAUGGUGGCCUCCUGACUCUCCACAGACAGAUGAUAUUCAGCUGUUUGCUGGGAAUGCUCUUGUGGCUGCAUUUAGUUUCUCUCGGGACUGGAUUUUGACAGUCUUUGAUGGGACAACCCCUAAUACAAUACCAGACUAGUGACAAGGUGCUACAUUACAGUGAUCAAGCCAGUAAUCCAGGAGAACUCCAGUACACAGCCAUGGAUUAUAUACGUUUUACUCUGAAAUUUACAUCAACAAAUCCACAGCAACAAAUCCACACCAGAAAAUCCUAACAGAGCAGCGGUGCUGGAGCCGCAGGGGUUUAACAGCAUAUUUGAUUUAAUGUCAACAAAAAUUUUUUCGGACCUUAUUUACCAAGAAGUCAAAAAACCCAGUGUAAUUUAAUUAUUGAAAUAAAAAAAAAGUUGCUGAGAAAUUGGAAGAAUUCUCACUUUGUGAGCUGCACAUAAAAUGUAUGUAACUUAAUAUUUCUUGCAGGUAAGACAUCAUUUUUAAUUUCAGUUAAAGAAAACAAACAAGUGCACACAUUUUUAGGAAAGAACUGAAAGAGAAGCAUUCAUAAUUGAAUAAAACUGUUGAUAUCCUGAAAGAACAUGGAACUUGGCAAGUGUAUUCACAUCAAGCACCAUUAGUCUGCUAC